AAUAGAUACCCAGGUAGUCCACGCCGUAAACGAUGAGUGCUAAGUGUUAGAGGGUUUCCGCCCUUUAGUGCUGCAGCUAACGCAUUAAGCACUCCGCCUGGGGAGUACGGCCGCAAGGCUGAAACUCAAAGGAAUUGACGGGGGGCCCGCACAAGCGGUGGAGCAUGUGGUUUAAUUCGAAGCAACGCGAAGAACCUUACCAGGUCUUGACAUCCUCUGACCUCCCUGGAGACAGGGCCUUCCCCUUCGGGGGACAGAGUGACAGGUGGUGCAUGGUUGUCGUCAGCUCGAGUCGUGAGAUGUUGGGUUAAGUCCCGCAACGAGCGCAACCCUUGACCUUAGUUGCCAGCAUUGAGUUGGGCACUCUAAGGUGACUGCCGGUGACAAACCGGAGGAAGGUGGGGAUGGACGUUAAAUCAUCAUGCCCCUUAUGACCUGGGCUACACACGUGCUACAAUGGAUGGUACAAAAGGGCUGCGAGACCGCGAGGUUAAGCCAAUCCCAGAAAAACCAUUCCCAGUUCGGAUUGCAGGCUGCAACCCCG
rnacentral:rRNA from 1 species